rnacentral:lncRNA from 10 species
CACCUCGCCCGGCCUCUUUUUUCAAGAAAGCAGUAAGCAUGGUAAAAUAUCAGCUCUGCCACUUAGUACCACUGAGAGAUAUAAGAAUACUCUUAGAGCCCCAGUUUCUUCAUCUACAGCAUAAGACUAAUAGCUUCUAAUAUUUAGCAAGCUAUGAACUUUUAAAUCACAUGCCUGGCAGGGCGCGGUGGCUCACGCCUAUAAUCCCAGCACUUUGGGAGG